rnacentral:rRNA from 1 species
GUAGGGAAUAUUGGACAAUGGGCGAAAGCCUGAUCCAGCCAUGCCGCGUGAUAGAUGAAGGCCCUCUGGGUUGUAAAUAUCUUUUAUCUGGGAAGAAACUCCUCUAUUCUUAGAGGCCUGACGGUACCAGAGGAAUAAGCACCGGCUAACUCCGUGCCAGCAGCCGCGGUAAUACGGAGGGUGCAAGCGUUAUCCGGAUUCACUGGGUUUAAAGGGUGCGUAGGCGGGUUGAUAAGUCAGUGGUGAAAGCUCCGGGCUUAACUUGGAAACUGCCAUUGAUACUGUCAGUCUUGAAUGUCGUAGAGGUAAGCGGAAUGUUGCAUGUAGCGGUGAAAUGCUUAGAUAUGUUACAGAACACCAAUUGCGAAGGCAGCUUACUAUGCGAUAAUUGACGCUGAGGCACGAAAGCGUGGGGAGCAAACAGGAUUAGAUACCCCAGUAGUCC